AAGGCGGUCGACCACCGUAGAAACUCGGAUGGAGUCUGAUUUCUAUAGAAACCUCAUUGUCGAAGAAGCUCGGAUAUUGACGGAGUCUGAAAGAAGUUCGAAGAAUAGUUGAUCACUGUAGAAGGUCGGCUAGUGGUGAGGCCCAGAGAGCUUUUGGGGCAGCCCGGUAGACGAAUGCAAAAGUUCACUAUCGGAGAAGUUCGGACGGUCGAGGGG
rnacentral:lncRNA from 1 species